UUGGUGUAUGUGCUUGGCUGAGGA
rnacentral:piRNA from 6 species